AUUGAACGCUGGCGGCAUGCCUAACACAUGCAAGUCGAGCGGUUGAAGUUAGCUUGCUCCUGGAUUCAGCGGCUGACGGGUGAGUAAUUCCUAGGAAUCUGCCUUGUAGUGGGGUAUAACGUCCGGAAACGGGCGCUAAUACCGCAUACGUCCUGAGGGGGAAAUUGGGGGAUCUUCGUACCUCAGGCUAUCAUAUGAUCCUAGGUCGGAUUAGCUAGUUGGUUGGUUAAAGGCCUACUAAGGCGACGAUCCGUAACUGGUCUGAGAGGAUGAUCAGUCACACUGGAACUGAGACACGGUCCAGAGUCCUACGGGAGGCAGCAGUGGGGAAUAUUGGACAAUGGGCGAAAGCCUGAUCCAGCCAUGCCGCGUGUGUGACGAAGGUCUUCGGAGUGUAAAGCACUUUAAGUUGGGAGGAAGGGCAGUAAGUUAAUAACUUGCUGUUUUGACGUUACCAACAGAAUAAGCACCGGCUAACUUCGUG
rnacentral:rRNA from 1 species